rnacentral:rRNA from 1 species
AUAGAUCAUAAUUCCUGGAAUGGUUUAUGGUCCAAAUGAUUUAUCGCCAUAGGAUGGGACUGCGGCCUAUCAGCUUGUUGGUGGGGUAAUGGCCCACCAAGGCUAUAACAGGUACGGGCUCUGAGAGGAGAAGCCCGGAGAUGGGUACUGAGACACGGACCCAGGCCCUAUGGGGCGCAGCAGGCGAGAAACCUUAGCAAUGUGCGAAAGCACGACUAGGUUAAUCCGAGUGAUUUCUGCUGAAGAAAUCUUUUGUCAGUUCUAAAUCUACUGGUGAAUAAGGGGUGGGCAAGUCUGGUGUCAGCCGCCGCGGUAAUACCAGCACCUCGAGUGGUUAGGAGGUUUAUUGGGCCUAAAGCAUCCGUAGCCGGCUAUGCAAGUCUCCGGUUAAAUCCAUCUGCUUAACAGAUGGGCUGCCGGAGAUACUACAUAGCUAGGGAGCGGGAGAGGUAGACGGUAUUCGGUGGGUAGGGGUAAAAUCCUCUGAUCCAUUGAGGACCACCAGUGGCGAAGGCGGUCUACCAGAACGCGUUCGACGGUGAGGGAUGAAAGCUGGGGGAGCAAACCGGAUUAGAUACGCGGGUAGUCCCAGCUGUAAACGAUGCGGACUCGGUGAUGCAUUGGCUUAUGGCCAGUGCAUGCCGCGGGCAAUCCGUUAACUUUGCCGCCUGGGAAGUACGGUCGCACACUGAGCUUAAAGGAAUUGACGGGGACAUCCGGCAAUUC